GCUGGGCAUGGUAGCACACGCCUGUAAUCCCAGCUGCUUGGAAGGCUGAGGCAGGAGGAUCAUGAAUUCAAAGCCAACCUCAGCAAAAACGAGGUGUUAAAAACUCAGUGAGACCCUGUCUCUA
rnacentral:sRNA from 1 species